AUUGAACGCUGGCGGAAUGCUUUACACAUGCAAGUCGAACGGUAGAGGGGGCAACCCCUCGAGAGUGGCGAACGGGUGAGUAAUAUAUCGGAACGUGCCCAGUCGUGGGGGAUAACGUAGCGAAAGUUACGCUAAUACCGCAUACGAUCUAAGGAUGAAAGCGGGGGAUCGCAAGACCUCGCGCGAUUGGAGCGGCCGAUAUCAGAUUAGGUAGUUGGUGGGGUAAAGGCUCACCAAGCAAACGGUCUGUAGCUGGUCUGAGAGGAGGACCAGCAACACCGGAACUAAGACACGGACCAGACGACUACGGGAGACAGCAGUGGGGAAUUUUUGAAAAUGGACGCAAGUCUGAUCCAGCCAUUCCGCGUGCAGGAUGAAGGCCCUCGGGUUGUAAACUGCUUUUGUACGGAACGAAAAGGUCUCUCUUAAUACGGGGGACUCAUGACGGUACCGUAAGAAUAAGCACCGGCCAACUACGUGCCAGCCGCCGCAGUAA
rnacentral:rRNA from 1 species